rfam:Myotis brandtii contig302916, whole genome shotgun sequence.
GGCAGUUCUCGGGUGACACACCCUGGAAUCGGGGCUCCCUCCUCUCUGGUUCCAGGUGUGUCAACCGAGAACCAUA